GGAUCUUUAGCUCAGUUGGUAGAGCAGAUGGCCGUUAAUCAUCAAGUCCCAGGUUCGAUUCCUGGAGGAUCCG
rfam:Clostridiales sp. SM4/1 draft genome.